AUUGAACGCUGGCGGCAUGCCUUACACAUGCAAGUCGAACGGUAACAGGUUAAGCUGACGAGUGGCGAACGGGUGAGUAAUGUAUCGGAACGUGCCCAGUCGUGGGGGAUAACUGCUCGAAAGAGCAGCUAAUACCGCAUACGACCUGAGGGUGAAAGCGGGGGAUCGCAAGACCUCGCGCGAUUGGAGCGGCCGAUAUCAGAUUAGGUAGUUGGUGAGGUAAAGGCUCACCAAGCCGACGAUCUGUAGCUGGUCUGAGAGGACGACCAGCCACACUGGGACUGAGACACGGCCCAGACUCCUACGGGAGGCAGCAGUGGGGAAUUUUGGACAAUGGGCGCAAGCCUGAUCCAGCCAUGCCGCGUGCGGGAAGAAGGCCUUCGGGUUGUAAACCGCUUUUGUCAGGGAAGAAAAGGUUCUGGCUAAUACCUGGGACUCAUGACGGUACCUGAAGAAUAAGUACCGGCUAACUACGUG
rnacentral:rRNA from 1 species